GAAAGCCUGACGCAGCACACCGCGUGUGGGAUGAAGCUUUUCGGAGUGUAAACCACUGUCAGUGGGGACGAAUAAAUGACGGUACCCCACAGAGGAAGCAUCGGCUAACUACGUGCCAGCAGCCGCGGUAAGACGUACGAUGCAAGCGUUGUCCGGAAUUAUUGGGCGUAAAGCGUUCGUAGGCGGCAUGCCAAGUCUGAUGUCAAAGCCCGGAGCUCAACUCCGGUUCGGCAUUGGAUACUGGCAAGCUAGAGUGCAGGAGAGGCAAGGGGAAUUCCUAGUGUAGCGGUGAAAUGCGUAGAUAUUAGGAGGAACACCAGUGGCGUAAGCGCCUUGCUGGACUGUAACUGACGCUGAGGGACGAAAGCCAGGGGAGCAAAUGGGAUUAGAUACCCCAGUAGUCCUGGCCGUAAACGAUGGAUACUAGGUGUCGCGGGUAUCGACCCCUGCGGUGCUGCAGCUAACGCAAUAAGUAUCCCGCCUGGGGAGUACGCACGCAAGUGUGAAACUCAAAGGAAUUGACGGGGACCCGCACAAGCGGUGGAACAUGUGGUUUAAUUCGAAGCAACGCGAAGAACCUUACCAGGGCUUGACAUCCCGAGAACUUUCCAGAGAUGGAUUGGUGCCCUUCGGGGAACUCGGUGGCAGGUGGUGCACGGUUGUCGUCAGCUCGUGUCGUGAGAUGUUGGGUUAAGUCCCGCAACGAGCGCAACCCUCGUUGUUAGUUGCCAGUAAGAGCCUGCUCUUGCUGUGCUCUCUAGCGAGACUGCCGGUGAUAAACCGGAGGAAGGUGGGGACGACGUCAAAUCAUCAUGCCCCUUAUGUCCUGGGCUACACACGUGUUACAAUGGGUAGGACAGCGAGCAGCCAACCAGCAAUGGUGAGCAAAUCUCUUAAACCUACUCUCAGUUCGGAUCGCAGUCUGCAACUCGACUGCGUGAAGUCGGAAUCGCUAGUAACCGUAGAUCAGCACGCUGCGGUGAAUACGUUCCCGGGUCUUGUACACACUGCCCGUCACACCAUGGAAGCUGACCACGCCCGAAGUCGGUGAGCUAACUCUUUGAGGAGCAGCCGCCUAA
rnacentral:rRNA from 1 species